GACGAACGCUGGCGGCGUGCCUAAUACAUGCAAGUAGAACGCACAGUUUAUACCGUAGCUUGCUCCACCAUAAACUGUGAGUUGCGAACGGGUGAGUAACGCGUAGGGAACCUGCCUGGUAGCGGGGGAUAACUAUUGGAAACGAUAGCUAAUACCGCAUAAUAUUGAUUAUUGCAUGAUAAUUGAUUGAAAGAUGCUAUUGCAUCACUACCAGAUGGACCUGCGUUGUAUUAGCCAGUAGGUGAGGUAACGGCUCACCUAGGCGACGAUACAUAGCCGAGCUGAGAGGGUGAUCGGCCACACUGAGACUGAGACACGGCCCAGACUCCUACGGGAGGCAGCAGUAGGGAAUCUUCGGCAAUGGACGAAAGUCUGACCGAGAAACGCCGCGUGAGUGAAGAAGGUUUUCGGAUCGUAAAGCUCUGUUGUAAGAGAAGAACGGGUGUGAGAGUGGAAAGUUCACACUGUGACGGUAUCUUACCAGAAAGGGACGGCUAACUACGUG
rnacentral:rRNA from 1 species